GGGGUUGUGGCUCAGUGGUAGAGCUUAUAUGUGUAAGGCACUGGGUUCGAUCCUCAGCACCACG
rnacentral:tRNA from 1 species